rnacentral:rRNA from 1 species
AUUGAACGCUGGCGGCAUGCCUUACACAUGCAAGUCGAACGGCAGCACGGGUGCUUGCACCUGGUGGCGAGUGGCGAACGGGUGAGUAAUAUAUCGGAACGUACCUUAUUGUGGGGGAUAACGCAGCGAAAGCUGUGCUAAUACCGCAUAAUCCCUAAGGGGUAAAGCGGGGGACCGUAAGGCCUCGCGCAAUGAGAGCGGCCGAUACCUGAUUAGCUAGUGGGUGAGGUAAAGGUUCACCAAGGCAACGAUCAGUAGCUGGUCUGAGAGGACGAUCAGCCACACUGGGACUGAGACACGGCCCAGACUCCUACGGGAGGCAGCAGUGGGGAAUUUUGGACAAUGGGGGCAACCCUGAUCCAGAAAUGCCGCGUGAGUGAAGAAGGCCUUCGGGUUGUAAAGCUCUUUUGUCAGGGAAGAAACAGCAGCUCUAACACAGUAUGCGAAUGACGGUACCUGAAGAAUAAGCACCAGCUAACUACGUGCCAGCCGCCGCGGUAA